UUUGCACCUCUUUUUCACAAAUAGAGGCAUGUGAAUCAAGAUGAGAUAAUGAUGGAUUUUUUCACAAAAUUUCCCGUUUGGUUUCAUCAACUUCUCCCCUUAAUUUUGGGAAAAGUGACUCAUCGACAGUCUGCAAAUCGUGCAGUGAACAAAUCCCCUGUCAAUGUUUCGAGGUAGCGAAUAAUGGAGGGCGAUUCAAACCCAACAUAUAU
rnacentral:lncRNA from 1 species